UACGUAGGGGGCAAGCGUUGUCCGGAAUCAUUGGGCGUAAAGAGCGCGUAGGCGGCCCUGUAAGUCCGCUGUGAAAGUCAAGGGCUCAACCCUUGGAUGCCGGUGGAUACUGCAGGGCUAGAGUCCGGAAGAGGCGAGUGGAAUUCCUGGUGUAGCGGUGAAAUGCGCAGAUAUCGGGAGGAACACCGAUGGCGAAGGCAGCUCGCUGGGACGUUACUGACGCUGAGACGCGAAAGCGUGGGGAGCAAACAGG
rnacentral:rRNA from 1 species